rnacentral:lncRNA from 1 species
AUGGUCACCCCUGGUGACAUUAUAAAACAGUGUCUGAACUCACCCAGCUGGGGAACAGGCAGAGAAACCCCAUGGCUUCACCAUCCUCAGUGCAAUGCUAUUCAUUAUCACCUGAAAAACUCUAGGAAUCUACAGGAUGGUCCAUGGAUGCCACACUCAGACCUCCUCAGUGGUGACCUUGGUAUAUUGAACCACAAGGCUGAUAGAAGACUGGUUGCGAUGAGGAGAUCAAAAGAGCUUAUAUAUGAGAAAGAAACGAUGCUGCUCACUGUGAAUACAAAACACAGUAGUGACAGCUGCCAGUGAAGUAGCGACACUGAGCCCGGAGUUCUGCUGAGGAUGUCCCAAAGGUGAGGCUGCUUCCUGGGUUUGGGAAAGCACAGGAUCUUCGGGGCGAUAUGGUGAUUUUGACCUAAAUCCUCCCACAUUGGUAGAGUAUUCAUUGUGUGUACUCAGCCAGGGCUGGGACAACACAGCAAGGAUUGGGGAUAAACUGUGGGGUACCAAAAUAUGCCACCCCAAAAUAUGCCUCUUUGGCAUUUGGAUUAUUUUGAGCUAAAGGCUGUUGAGAACUAGCAGACUCAGGAAAAGCUCUAAAAACAGGGCACAGUCUUCCUUUGGUAAAGGAAAUUUCCUUUUGUAAAGAUAUCUCCCUCUCCCAUACCAGCAAGAGCGGACUCAACAACUCAUCGGUGGAGAAGUCAUCCACUUGAAUCCACACAACAAACCUUACUAAACAACCCUUGUUUAACAGAUUUCCUGGUCACCUUCCCAUAACUCGCCUCUCCCACCCAGACACCCAAAACCACUUUUUCUUUGUUUUAGCCUAAGAUGGUAUAGAAACCUACAUUCUAACAUCUCUUUGGGUUUCUCAUCACUGAGUGCUCCCAUGUAUAUAUGCAGCAUGCACAUAUUAAUAAACUUCUGUUUGUUUUUCUCUUGUUAAUCUGU